UAAGGAAUAUUGGUCAAUGGACGCAAGUCUGAACCAGCCAUGCCGCGUGAAGGAUGAAGGUCCUCUGGAUUGUAAACUUCUUUUAUCUGGGACGAAAACGGGAUUUUUAUCUCAAUUGACGGUACCAGAGGAAUAAGCACCGGCUAACUCCGUGCCAGCAGCCGCGGUAAUACGGAGGGUGCGAGCGUUAUCCGGAUUUACUGGGUUUAAAGGGUGCGUAGGUGGGCUUAUAAGUCAGUGGUGAAAUCUCCGAGCUUAACUUGGAAACUGCCGUUGAUACUAUAGGUCUUGAAUUAUCUGGAGGUAAGCGGAAUAUGUCAUGUAGCGGUGAAAUGCUUAGAUAUGACAUAGAACACCAAUUGCGAAGGCAGCUUACUACAUAUAAAUUGACGCUGAGGCACGAAAGCGUGGGGAACAAACA
rnacentral:rRNA from 1 species